rnacentral:rRNA from 1 species
CCUACGGGCGGCAGCAGUAGGGAAUAUUGCUCAAUGGGGGAAACCCUGAAGCAGCAACGCCGCGUGGAGGAUGACGGUUUUCGGAUUGUUAACUCCUUUUGUUAGAGAAGAUAAUGACGGUAUCUAACGAAUAAGCACCGGCUAACUCCGUGCCAGCAGCCGCGGUAAUACGGAGGGUGCACGCGUUACUCGGAAUCCCUGGGCGUAAAGAGCGCGUAGGCGGGAUAGCAAGUCAGAUGUGAAAUCCUAGGGCUUAACCAUAGAACUGCAUUUGAAACUGUUAUUCUAGAGUAUGGGAGAGGUAGGUGGAAUGCUUGGUGUAGGAGUAAAAUCCGUAGAGAUCAAGAGGAAUACUCAUGGCGAAGGCGACCUGCUGGAACAUAACUGACGCUGAUGCACGAAGGCGAGGGGAGCAAACAGGAUUAGAUACCCUGGUAGUC